CCUACGGGUGGCAGCAGUGAGGAAUAUUGGUCAAUGGACGGGAGCCUGAACCAGCCAAGUCGCGUGAAGGAAGAAGGUCCUUUGUAUUGUAAACUUCUUUUGUCGGGGAACAAAGUCUGCGACGCGUCUCCUGCUGUGUGUACCCUAAGAAAAAGCAUCGGCUAACUCCGUGCCAGCAGCCGCGGUAAUACGGAGGAUCCGAGCGUUAUCCGGUUUUAUUGGGUUUAAGGGGUGCGCAGGCGGGGGGUCAAGUCAGCGGUAAAAUGUGGGGGCUAAACCCGGGCUGGCCGUUGAAACUGGUUGUCUAGAGUACGAGAGAGGUGGGCGGAAUUCGUGGUGUAGCGGUGAAAUGCUUAGAUAUCACGAAGAACUCCGAUUGCGAAGGCAGCACACCGGAUCGAGACUGACGCUGAGGCACGAAAGCGUGGGGAUCGAACAGGAUUAGAUACCCGAGUAGUC
rnacentral:rRNA from 1 species